rnacentral:rRNA from 1 species
UAUUGGACAAUGGGGGCAACCUGAUCCAGCAAUGCCGCGUGUGUGAAGAAGGUCUUCGGAUUGUAAAGCACUUUCGACGGGGACGAUGAUGACGGUACCCGUAGAAGAAGCUCCGGCUAACUUCGUGCCAGCAGCCGCGGUAAUACGAAGGGGGCUAGCGUUGCUCGGAAUGACUGGGCGUAAAGGGCGUGUAGGCGGUUUGUACAGUCAGAUGUGAAAUCCCCGGGCUUAACCUGGGAGCUGCAUUUGAUACGUGCAGACUAGAGUGUGAGAGAGGGUUGUGGAAUUCCCAGUGUAGAGGUGAAAUUCGUAGAUAUUGGGGAAGAACACCGGUGGCGAAGGCGGCAACCUGGCUCA